GGUCCACUUCCGGGUUGCGCCCGAUGUCACAAUAACAACGCUAAUGAUAGAUUGACAUCUGGUGUGGGGAGUUUGACGUGGCGAUCUGUGAGAGGAUUAUGGAGGCGGAGUAACCACAUAAAAAGAGAAGUGCAGAGACCAAAAGGGCAGGUGAAUUUCUGGGACGUUUGGGCUGGCGUGUGGAGGUAUUCGAGGACUAUUGUGGGGUUUCGGCUAUCUGGCUGUGCAACAGUUAUAUCAGCGAUCGAGUGGAGAUAUUCAGGACAGAAAGAGUGUGAGUUCUGGAAAGCAAGUGGAGACCAGGCCGCGCCAUCACUAUCGGAGGGAAGUUAAGAGACCUGAUCUGGGACUUCGAUCAAUUGUAUACAUCUGGACUGGGAGUGAUAACGUUGUGAAGUGGACGGAGCCAUCGUUGGAUCGCAGGAUCCUCUGGGCUGAACGCCGCAUGUGAUGUCCCUAUGAAAGGAGAUCGCAGGAUCCUCUGGGCUGAACGCCGCAUGUGAUGUCCCUAUGAAAGGAGGUGGACACAAGAAUUAUUCUUUUCCUGGUUACAACCGAAGCAUCCCCCAGCCGUAAGCCCCACUAC